CUGAACAUUAUCAAAUUGAUUUUUGCUCACCUUGGGAUAAGGACAUUCGGCCAUAAAGUGUCCAGGUUUUCUACAGUUGUAGCAUAAAUUCGAAUUCUCCU